rnacentral:tmRNA from 17 species
GGGGCUGUUUUGGUUUCGACAUUUAAAGGUAGUUUAAGGUAUGAAUCAGGUCGAAGCUUGUAUUCUUCGUAAAAACGUACAAUCUUAAAUAUAAAUGCUAAAACUAUUAUUUUAUCGUUACUUACUUUCGUAAGUUUUAAUACACAAAAAAAUAACUCAAAUUUAUUACAAUUUGUAGUUUAAAUUUAUAAGAAUUAUUCACUAUUUAUAGACUUUUCCAUAUAAUAGUUUCGAUUAAACUGUAUUUACAUUAUGUUCUUUUGAACUAUGCCUGUGAGUGAAUAUCUAAAAAAUUUAAAUGGACGUGGGUUCAAUUCCCAUCAGCUCCA